AACGAACGCUGGCGGCAUGCCUAACACAUGCAAGUCGAACGAGACCUUCGGGUCUAGUGGCGCACGGGUGCGUAACGCGUGGGAACCUGCCCUUAGGUUCGGAAUAACUCCCCGAAAGGGGUGCUAAUACCGGAUAAUGUCUUCGGACCAAAGAUUUAUCGCCUUUGGAUGGGCCCGCGUUGGAUUAGCUAGUUGGUAGGGUAAAAGCCUACCAAGGCGACGAUCCAUAGCUGGUCUGAGAGGAUGAUCAGCCACACUGGGACUGAGACACGGCCCAGACUCCUACGGGAGGCAGCAGUGGGGAAUAUUGGACAAUGGGCGAAAGCCUGAUCCAGCAAUGCCGCGUGAGUGGUGAGGGCCUUAGGGUUGUAAAGCUCUUUUACCCGGGAUGAUAAUGACAGUACCGGGAGAAUAAGCUCCGGCUAACUCCGUG
rnacentral:rRNA from 1 species